rnacentral:sRNA from 1 species
UAUUCUGCCCCACGGGGAAGGAUGAGAAGCUUCGACUAAGGUUCGACUCGAGCGAAGCGAGAGAACGUUGCCGCAGGCAACGGCCCGAAGGGCGAGGCGCGUUAGCGACGAGUAAUCCUUCCCCCACCACCA